UACAGAGGGUGCAAGCGUUGUUCGGAAUUAUUGGGCGUAAAGGGAGUGUAGGCUGUGAGGUAAGUCUUCUGUGAAAUCUACGGGCUUAGCCUGUAACGUGCAGAGGAAACUGCUUCGCUUGAGUGUCGGAGAGGAUAGGGGAAUACCCGGUGUAGAGGUGAAAUUCGUAGAGAUCGGGUGGAACACCAGUGGCGAAGGCGCCUAUCUGGCUGACAACUGACGCUGAGACUCGAAAGCGAGGGGAGCAAAUGGG
rnacentral:rRNA from 1 species